GAGACGGAGUCUCGCUCUGUCGCCCAGGUUGGAGUGCAAUGGCGCCAUCUUGGCUCACUGCAACCUUUGCCUCCCAGGUUCCAGCAAUUCUCCUGUCUCAGCCUCCCAAGUAGCUGGGACUACAGGCGCAUGCCACCAUGCCCAGCUAAUUUUUGUAUUUUUAGUAGAGACAGGGUUUCACCAUAUUGGUCAGGCUGGUCUUGAACUCUUGACCUCAGGUGAUCCACCUGCCUCAGCCUCCUAAAGUGCUGGGAUUACAGGCAUGAGCCACCACGCCUGGCCCAGCAUAAAGGAUUUCUUAUUACCCAAAUGGACAAAGGCUUAAAUCGGGACUCACGUCCUGGGCAUGAAUAAAAUGAAUAUAAUAGCCCAUGAAAUAAAGGAAAAAAAAUUCCUGAGAACUUUCAUUUAAUGUAAUUCAAUAAAUAGCACAAACAUUUAUCAGUGUAGAGAAAAUUAUACAUUAUCAAAGGAUCAAAUAGUUUGAAUUCUCUACGAUCAUUAAAUCUAGGGUCUUAGAAGAUUGCAGCUUUUUAUCAUCCUGUUAAUUCUUUUGGUUUCAUUUCUUGUACAAUUUAUUUUUAAAAAGGUAGCAUAUGGGUUUGCUCUCAUCUAUGCGUCCAGAAGCAAGAAGCUUAACAUGAAGUCUUCACAGACGCGCACUGUCACCAUUAAGUUUUAUUAGAGGCCAGAAUCUUCCUUGUGAAUCCAUUUCUCAGGGAAUCUUGGAUCUGUACUGGGAUCUCCAUUCUUCUCCCACUACACACAGGAGACACCCACUAGUAGCUACAGAGACUAAAUUCUCUGCAGAUGAAGGUCCACUAAAAUCUGCUACUUUGUGGCAUUCUCUACUGUAGUGAUGCCUAAUAAUUGUAUGUUUUCCAAGUCUGAUUGAAAAUCUUAGGGUUGGAAAUGAUUUUGUUUUCCAAGUCUGAGGGAAAAUCUUAGGGUUGGAAAUGAUUUUAUGUUUCCUAAGAAUGACUGAAAAUCUUAGGGUUGGAACGAUCUUAAAAGUGAUCAAGAACAGCCCUGAGUCCUCUUUCUAGAAAGUGCUUAACCAAGCAUGCUUACUAACACCUAGAUAAGGGAAACAUAAUCCAGCUGUUAAAAAUGGCUAAUACUGAAUUUUAGAUGAUGUUGGUAUGCCUAAAAAGCACAUCAAAAUAUUUUCUUUGGGAGAUCUCCAUUUUAAGUCUCAAAGUGAAGAGAUUUUUGUUAAUCGUAAAAAAAUUUUUAAAAAAACCCCUUGCUUCCAGUAGCUCGCUGUCAAAAUAUAAUUAUUUAAUAAAUCAAAAUGAACACAGGCUUAGGAUGACUGAUGUUUCAAGAAAAGAUAGAGCAUAAAAUAUAGUUGGAUACCAGUUUUCAUUUUGCUCUGGGAGAGGGAUGGAAAUGUUUAGUCGUUGAUUUUUCAAUGUGCUAUCAAUAGUAGGGGAAAAAAUCACAGAAACAUAGUUUGUUAUAUAGAGUGAAUCCAGGAACAGUCACCCUUACCAGGUCUGUGGAAAUGCUGGGGAGAGCGGGACGUGGUUGGAGUGUAGCUGUGGCGGCUGUACACAGGGGAGUUGAUGGAGCCCUGGCUCGUGGACCGAUGGAUCAUCCGAUCCCGAACAUCCUGGUACCCCUGGAAAC
rnacentral:lncRNA from 1 species